rnacentral:lncRNA from 1 species
CUGUAUACCCCCUCUCCCGCGCGCCUCGUCCCUGCCUGUUUUCUUCAACCCCUCCGCAGCUCCACGGUUCCGCCCGUGCACGGGGUCCAUCCCUGACUUCUGUUCAUUCCUGACCUCUAUCGUCUCAGCUUUUCUUCACUGUGCGCGGGUUAGCUGGACCAUGGACUGUGGAAGGAGUUGCAGCGGGCUUUGCACCCCUGACAACUCUGCGUGACUGAAAAUGCGGCAUCCCCGGCAAAUCCUCGUCACCGGCUCUGCGCAUCUGCAAAAAUGAAGACUUGAUCGGGGUAUCCUUCAUCCUCGUCAUAUCGCCGAAAAUCUCC